AAACAAGAAGGAGGGAUUUCCAAGGGAGCAGAGCAUUAAUAAGGUUUUAUCUACUACAAAGGAUAUCACUUGGGAAGGAAUUUCUUGAAACUGCUCCCAAGAGAGCCAUUGGACCAUGUGGUAAACAACUCCUAGCUGAUGGAUUAUUGGGAAUAUUAACAUCAUCCAGAAUGCUAUGGGGAGAAGACAACUGGAAGCUCCGUGUGGACAAACCUCCUGGACUCUGCCCCACAUAUCUCUUCCCUUGGCUGAUUUGAAUUUAAGCUGACAGCUGACACGCCCUUCCUUUGUGCAUUUUAUCCUGGGACAAAAUGAGAAGACAUCCUUCAGUUCCCAUCUUGGAUGGCAUAACUUCAAAACCAAGGGAGAUGGAGGAGUUUUAGAGGAGUAGAAGGCUGCAAGCAAGAACUGAUGCAUUACAUCUCCAGUCACCUCACUCUAAGAUUGUCCUGUAGCUAAGACUGUUGAAUGAGACUGUUGUUCUUCAGUUUGCAGCCACAAAGCACGGAGGCAUCUCCCCAAGAAUCCACUGCAGGGAGGAUGAACAGCCCUUACCUGGAUUUUUGCUUUAUCUAAAAAUAUAUUUGUAGAAGAAGGAGCAUUCUAGUUUCCAAAUACAAAGGGCAAUCUCCUUCUCUGUGUGUGCACGUGCAAACAAACACACUUCUACAAGUAAGCAUUCUUCUUUAUUAUCAUAGUCAUCAUCAUCACUGGGUUGGCAACUAAAAACAAAACUACAAAACUCUCAUGUUAGCAGUUGAGUAACUUUUAAUAACCAGAUACAAACCAUUCUUCAUUGUUUACAAGGGGCAUUAAAAAGAAAAGGAGGUUGAACUGCAAUGUGAAGUGUAGUUAAAUAUGUAGACAUCUUGGAUUCUAGAAGAGUUUGUAAUGGAUUAAAGGGUUAAGCUAUGAAAUUGUUGCCCUCUGUGAUUUUUCCACACUAGAACAGACUGACAUGGUUUGAAGCAGUUGGGCUUUAACCUAUAGAUAGGAGGACAGAGAUGAUUGCCUAUGAAGCAAUUAUUAAAUAGCUGCAUUUUGGCAUGUUCUAGUUGAAAAGAUUUAGUUUUACCUAUAUCACCUCAUCAUCACUAAUUUAAUCAUCCUCAGAAAAUGCAAAAAUAAUGAUGUACAUUUGACAAGUCUUAUACAAAAUUAUGUUUCAUAGCUUUGUGGUCAGAAUUAAGCCAUGUUCUAAAAUACAAAUGAAU
ensembl:lncRNA LINC01915 long intergenic non-protein coding RNA 1915